rnacentral:rRNA from 1 species
AGUGAACGCUGGCGGCGUGCCUAAUACAUGCAAGUCGAACGGAGUGGCGCACGGGUGAGUAAUAUAUAGCUAAUCUGCCCCUUGCUGGAGGACAACAGCUAGAAAUGACUGCUAAUACCCCAUAGAACGGGAUGAGAUUAUAUCGGAUCAGCUAGUCGGUGGGGUAACGGCCUACCGAGGCUAUGACGCGUAACUGGUCUGAGAGGAUGAUCAGACACAUGGGAACGGAGACACGGUCCAUAGGCCUACGGGAGGGAGCAGUAGGGAAUAGUGCGAAAUGGGAGAAACCCUGACGCAGCAACGCCGCGUGGAGGAUGACACUUUUCGGAGCGUAAACUCCUUUUGUUAGGGAAGCGGUACCUAACGAGUAAGCACCGGCUAACUCCGUGCCAGCCGCCGCGGUAAUAC